rnacentral:rRNA from 1 species
UGGGGAAUUUUGGACAAUGGGCGAAAGCCUGAUCCAGCCAUGCCGCGUGAGUGAAGAAGGCCUUCGGGUUGUAAAGCUCAUUUAGUCGGAAAGAAAGAGUUGCAAUGAAUAAUUGUGAUUUAUGACGGUACCGACAGAAAAAGCACCGGCUAACUACGUGCCAGCAGCCGCGGUAAUACGUAGGGUGCGAGCGUUAAUCGGAAUUACUGGGCGUAAAGGGUGCGCAGGCGGUCUUGCAAGUCAGAUGUGAAAGCCCCGGGCUUAACCUGGGAAUUGCGUUUGAAACUGCAAGACUAGAGUGCAGCAGAGGGGAGUGGAAUUCCAUGUGUAGCAGUGAAAUGCGUAGAGAUGUGGAAGAACACCGACGGCGAAGGCAGCUCCCUGGGUUGACACUGACGCUCAUGCACGAAAGCGUGGGGAGCAAACA